UACGUAGGGUGCGAGCGUUGUCCGGAUUUAUUGGGCGUAAAGAGCUCGUAGGCGGUUUGUCGCGUCGGCCGUGAAAUCUCCACGCUUAACGUGGAGCGUGCAUCCGAUACUGCUGUGACUUGAGUUCGGUAGGGGAGUGGGGAAUUCCUAGUGUAGCGGUGAAAUGCGCAGAUAUUAGGAGGAACACCGGUGGCGAAGGCGCCACUCUGGGCCGAAACUGACGCUAAGGAGCGAAAGCAUGGGUAGCAAACAGG
rnacentral:rRNA from 1 species